GGAAGACAGAAGGCCGCUGGCGCUGGGCGGAUGGCACAGUAUACAGAGCAGACGCAAGCAGGGGGUUCUGGGCGGAGAAUCAGCCAGACAACUGGCAUCAGGAGACAGGAGGCAGAGAAGACUGUGUUAAGACACGCGCAAAGAAGCUGAAUAGGUGGAAUGAUGCCAACUGCACUCUGCCUUCUAGGUGGAUUUGUAAGCAGGCCCAUGGACAGGCUGGGCUGUGACAUGCAGGUCCCAGCACCUCAGAAAGCGCCUUAAUUUCCAAGCUAUGCAGCAUGUUUUCCAGCCACCUGCCGAUGAGGAGCCCUGUGCACGGGGUGGGGCCGCAUGGGAUGUGCAUCACAGGGACGCUUUAUCUUGCUGUGAUAUUUCUGGCUGUAGCAGAGAGAGCUGCCCUUAUGCCGCUCAGUGUGACUGGCUCUGUAAUUUGUAUGUUUCCAGGUCUGUCACUGGAUCGUGGAGUUAUUGUUUCAUAAUCACCCAAUAAAUGAUUUGCUUGA